rnacentral:tRNA from 2 species
GGCAGGAUCGCAUAAUCCGGUAUUGCGCAAGACUUGAAAUCUUGUUCCUUUUGGAAUUCUGGGUUCAAAUCCCAGUUCUGCCG